rnacentral:rRNA from 1 species
AGCUCCAAUAGCGUAUACUAAAGUUGUUGCAGUUAAAAAGCUCGUAGUCGAAUGUAGAUUGUACAGGUGCGCGGACGUUUAGGUGUAUAACUUAUAUUGUCUGUACGCCACAAUCACCCUUAUGUAGUACGGUUGUUUUGGUUUCCAGAACAAAUUUACCGACUACAUACAUUACUGUGAACAAAAUAGAGUGUUCAUGGCAGGCCAAUUAGGCUUGAAUACCUCAGCAUGGAAUAAUAGAAUAGGACUUCUGGUUCUAUUUUGUUGGUUUUUGGAGCCGAAGUAAUGAUUAAUAGGGAUAGUUGGGGGCACUCGUACUCCGUUGUCAGAGGUGAAAUUCUUGGAUUGACGGAAGACGAACAACUGCGAAAGCAUCUGCCAAGGAUGUUUUCAUUG